CCUUAUGAACCUGGCGGCGUGCCUAACACAUGCAAGUCGAGCGGUAACAGGUGUAGCAAUACAUGCUGACGAGCGGCGAACGGGUGAGUAAUGCUUCGGAAUCUGCCCAAUGGUGGGGAAUAACCAGCCGAAAGGUUGGCUAAUACCGCAUAAGUCCUUCGGGGGAAAGCAGGGGAUCGCAAGACCUUGCGCCGAUGGAUGAGCCGAAGUCGGAUUAGCUAGUUGGUAGGGUAACGGCCUACCAAGGCGACGAUCCGUAGCUGGUCUGAGAGGACGACCAGCCACACUGGGACUGAGACACGGCCCAGACUCCUACGGGAGGCAGCAGUGGGGAAUAUUGGACAAUGGGGGAAACCCUGAUCCAGCGACGCCGCGUGUGUGAAGAAGGCCUGCGGGUUGUAAAGCACUUUUAGUGGGGAUGAAAAGCUCAGGGCUAACACCUCUGGGUCUUGACCUAACCCACAGAAAAAGCACCGGCUAACUCUGUGCCAGCAGCCGCGGUAAUACAGAGGGUGCGAGCGUUAAUCGGAAUUACUGGGCGUUAAGCGUGCGUAGACGGUUAUGUAAGUCGGGUGUGAAAGCCCCGGGCUCAACCUGGGAAUUGCAUUCGAGACUGCAUAGCUUAGGGUUGCGGAA
rnacentral:rRNA from 1 species